CUGCCCCGAAGCUCUACCAAUUUUCUGCGCGAGCGCGAGUCCAUAGCGCCGCCAGCCCGCCACCAACUAAACUGCUAUUCGAUUUCGAUCAUCUCAUCUGCCACCUAAAGACGCCGUGAGAUCCGUCGAGAUCGGGAUCGCGUUUCGUCACCAGCGAUUCAGCGAGGCGAUGCGGCGGCCGGCUUGCCGGCGAUGACCGGCGCUAACUAAUCUCAACCCUUGUAGCAGGAUACCGAGUCGACGGCGGCCUGGGCAUGCAGGCCUCCCGUUCGGCGAAACGCCCCAGAGAAACCUCCUCGGCCAACGGCGGAGGCUCGCCGCCGGGGUGCCGGAUCGCGCGCGCGAACCGGGGCGCCGAACGGCAGAGGCCUCGUAGCCCAACCGUCCCCGUACGUAGUCCAACCGAUUCAGAGUCCAAGGCUCCAAGCUCUGCUUGCUACGGGCAAGUAAGCUUAAUAGACAGAGGCUAUUAAUGGGCAAGGUAGACAAGACAAUAGAAGUGGUGGGGGUCAAAGGAUCUACUUCACUGGACACAAUUUGAGUAUUUGAGUGCGCGAAGCUAUGAACAAAACUGAAGCUAAGUUAGACUUGCAGUCUUACAGAGUUACGCAUGAAAUGUGAAGAUCACAACUGCUCCUACAUUGCACAGAAGCAUGCAAGGUGCUUACAUUUGGUGGAAUGGUCUUCUCAAGUGGCUUCUUUGGUGGCAAUGAUGGUUCAGUGAGUGAAGGCAGCCGAAAUUCAUGCAUCAUCCAGUCAGUUUUGACCCCUUUGGCUGCUCUACCUUUGUAGAAGACAAGAGACUUCUUCAAGCCGAUGCACUUGCUCCCAUCAGAAGAGUAGAUUGGCCUAUCAGUUCCAGUGGCUUUCCAGAAACCUGCCCCAGUUACCCUGUUCGGCCUUGUGCUGUUCCGAGAAACAGAACACAGUUAGCAAGGGGAAGGGAUGCAUCGAUGCUUACUUGGGAGAUCCCAUGGAUCAUACUUGUAGAUAUCCAGCUGCCUGAUGAGUUCGAUCGGGAGAGACUUCUGCUGGAUUUUUCUUUUAAGGUAGAACCUGACGAGCUCUUCAUCUGUUGGAUGAAAUCUAAAGCCAGAUGGUGCUCAGUGCUCACCCCUAGUUACAACUUACAAGAAGUUACCAGCUACAAACUCUAGUAUGGUUAAACUUCACUCGGUAGGCAGUAGCUAAAAGGUUUUGUUUUCUACUGAUUAUUGGAGGUAAACAGAACCCUUUCUUCCACUUAAUGUAAGACCACCAUAUAACACUGACUUCUUCAGACCUAACGAGGUGGCUUUCUAAGCACUGCUUGUGCUCUUGUCUAGAAGGAGCUAAAUUUGGAGCAAAGCUAUCACAAAAGCUCUAAAAGAACUAUGGCAUGCAGAUACUCAAAGAGAAGGGAGGCCAGAUUUGCAGUCUUAACUCUCUUGGUUUCUCACUCUGUAGGGUUUGCCUUCCUACUAGUUGGCUAAUCUUUUGCACCCUUGCGUGCACUGAAGAACUGUUACUUAUAGCAGAGCUUCCGAAACCCUACCUAAGUGACUCACGUAAGGUCUCUUAUUAGACUUGACUCUACCUCUGUGAUGAGCAUCUCAAUGAGAUGUUCGAGUUCUGCGGUAAGAUUGGGAUUAGCAAUAUUUGGAUUAAUACUCGCUUAAUUAAUAAAUUAAUUGAAUCCCAAGUACUUUGCAUCUAAUUUAUGUCUUGUUGCCUAUAAUUAAGCCUGCUUAGAGAAUAAUCUAGCUCUCUAGAUGACUAUCUUACUAAUUUUAAAUUGUGUUCCCUGGAAUUUUCUAUCUGUGAACUAUAAGAACAAUUCCCAAGGCAUUAGGAGACUUGCAAAUUCCUAUUACAUACAAUAUUAUUUUGGGACAGUAAUAAGAGUAUAUUUCCCUCUGAUAAUAUAUACGUAUUCACAUUGGUAUGUGCAUAUAUACCUUUCAUUCUCUAAUGAUCCCAAAAUCCUUUUUGGUCCAACCCUGUCCCCUUCAUUCAUAUCUUUUUUCUCUCACCUUUAUAAUUUAAGUCUGAAGGGGAGGUUUCUGAACACAAAGCAAAAAGAUUUGAAAAAAGUUUCUAAGAAAAAUGUACACGUUGCUUCCUCAGUUUUGAGUAUCAUAUAGUGCAUCUAAGUACUCUGUGGCACGAGCACAUGGCAUAGUCUGUUAUUUUCCAAAGAAGGAAAACCUAUUUUUCCUUUUUAUUUAAAUUGUAGGAUCAGAUAUGGGGAAGGCAAAUCAGACAUGAAACCGAUUGUAGAAAAGGUUAUGCAUGCCUCCCAAUUAUGAAUCACAGGAAAUGAAGUGCAAACUGGCAUUCUGCUCGUCUUGCCAUCUAAUCAAAUGGAAGUUAGCUAAGGUGCGGGAAGUGCGCGUUUCACAUCCCUGGGAUAGAGCUAAAAUCCGGAGUCAUGUCUUGCAAAACUUCUUUAUCAUUCAUCGAUGGAACAAAGUCAUUGUCUCUGGCUUUUGUAAGCUUGUGAUUAGUCAAACUCUUGUGAAAUCUAACCUCAAUCCCCGAUCAUUAUUUUACUGUGUAGAUAGUGACAUAUUCGCUGCUGAUAAGAUAUUACGGCCAAAGGGGGUUUAUCAAGAACUUAAGAUGAUGCUUAUCCCUAGAUUAUCAAUUUCUAUAUCCUUGCUGUCGAAUGUACCGGCAUCCGGUGGUUGUAAACAUGACCUAUUAACUACCUUUGUCGUUUAGAGAUGUUCUUUUGCAUCCGUUUGGCCGUUUCUACUCUGAAAUUUCCGGAUGUGCCUGCCCUUGAUGGACCACCAACCUUUAUGAACGAGGAUUCACACCUUUCUUGGCAAGCUUUGUGUGUUUUGCUUUAAUUAUUAAUUAUUAUCUAUCCAUUAAAGCUUUUGUUCUUGUGAAGAAACCGAUCUGUCACGGGAUUAACUUCACAGCUUGAUGUGUGCAGUGCACCAUGGUGCCAGCCUGCCAAGGAUGACAUGAAACGAGCUGGCUGGGUAACCAAGAAAUGUGUGAGCAAAUCCAAGUGGCGCACUUUGCAUUUGCCAGUUAAUCUCUUGACAUCUCAAUGCUCAUACAUACCGGUGUCUGAAACCUGAAAGACUGGAAUGGGGAUGCCAGUUGGUGACUCUGACGGGUGGGCCAAAUGCACUGCCGUUUCUCCCUCACCUCGAAAGCCUGCAGAUCAGAAUGCAGGCAGCAUUUCAGGCUUCCACAAGCGUUCGAUUCUAUGCUGAAUCUUGUCAGUUAUGACCGUAGUUCACGCUUCACAGCACUUACUGAAAAGCUAGAGAGAGAGGAAGGAACUUUCAGGACAGAUUGACUCUGCUGGAUCAUGGAUCUCUUGGCCUCUUGGACUUUCCAGCUUCAAGGUACUCAGUACUCCUGAAAACUGAACUAGUGCAAGUGCAACGAAUUUUGUCGCUUGUUUCUGCGGCUCCUUGACUGCACUCCAACACUUAGCCAGAAAUAGUACAUCUGCGAACGAAGUCACGCUACGCUCUCCGAUUCCCAAACUGGGGAAAACCAAAGAGGCGAUGAGUAGUCCUCACUCCACACUUGUUACCAAGAACAGCGCCAUGGAAACACGGAGGCCGGGAACCGAUUCGCGACGGCUGGGAACGAGGUGAGCGAGGAAAAAGGAUGCCGAACACAGAACGGCACAAAGAUAGCGUGCGUGUCUCACUGUGUUUUUACCAUGCAUGUACGAUGCACUGGGAACGCUGACUGGGGCUUCAUGCGUUGCUUGAGUAUAAAGCAAGUGCUCCUGAUUCAAAGAAAGGUCGCGUUUCCACUAUAAGCCACCCAUGUAUGUGCAUGACUUUUGCUGCACUUCUAGGUGCUGUACGUUUUUGCAA